rnacentral:lncRNA from 1 species
GGGGGUGAAUUAGUGUGUUUUCAAAAUCAGAGUCUUUUUGCAAUCUUUGAUUCAAAGUACAAAAUUUUACAAACUUUCUUGAAUCGCAAGUAAUAGAAAAUUAAGUGCAGCGGAAAAUCAAAGUAGACUACGUGAAUUAUAAAGUCGACUGAAUGUAAAAGAGUAAGGAUAGAGAAUUCAAACCAGGUUUUUAUACUGGUUCGGCCUGUUGAGUCGAUAUUUUAUUGAUUUCACUUAGUUUAUUGUGCUAGAAUU